rnacentral:tRNA from 1 species
GAGGGUAUAGCUUAAGUGGUAGAGUGUGUGCCUAGCGCGCACGAGGUUCUGGGUUCAAUCCCCGAUACCUCCU